ACUCCUACGGGAGGCAGCAGUAGGGAAUCUUCGGCAAUGGACGGAAGUCUGACCGAGCAACGCCGCGUGAGUGAAGAAGGUUUUCGGAUCGUAAAGCUCUGUUGUAAGAGAAGAACGAGUGUGAGAGUGGAAAGUUCACACUGUGACGGUAUCUUACCAGAAAGGGACGGCUAACUACGUGCCAGCAGCCGCGGUAAUACGUAGGUCCCGAGCGUUGUCCGGAUUUAUUGGGCGUAAAGCGAGCGCAGGCGGUUAGAUAAGUCUGAAGUUAAAGGCUGUGGCUUAACCAUAGUACGCUUUGGAAACUGUUUAACUUGAGUGCAAGAGGGGAGAGUGGAAUUCCAUGUGUAGCGGUGAAAUGCGUAGAUAUAUGGAGGAACACCGGUGGCGAAAGCGGCUCUCUGGCUUGUAACUGACGCUGAGGCUCGAAAGCGUGGGGAGCAAACAGGAUUAGAUACCCU
rnacentral:rRNA from 1 species